rnacentral:rRNA from 1 species
GACGAUAGACAUAUAAUAAAAAAAACUUUUAAAGAUAAAAUAUAAUUAUUAAUAGGUCUAAUUACAACAUAUAUAAUACCAUAAUUAUCUAGAAUAAACUAUUAAUCAAAACAAGGAUUAGAUACCCUUUUAUUAAUAGCCUACUUAAAAGGUUGGAAAUUACGAACAAUAGUUUAAACACCAAAGAAUUUGGCGGUGCUUUAUUUUAUUAGGGGAACCUGUCCCAUAAACGAUAAUCCACGAAAAUCUUACCUAAUUUUGAAACUCAGUUAGUGUACUGCCGUCUUAAGUAUACCUUUAUGAGAGUAUACAGUAAAUUAAAUAUUAAUUUAACGUCAGGUCAAAGUGCAGCUUACAAUUAGGGGGAGAUGGGUUACAAUCUAAAAUAAAGAUACGGAAAAACAUAAUAAUUAUGUUUUAAAGGUGGACUUAAUAGUAAUUAAAAUAAUUUUUUAAUGAAUAAAAUACUAAGGCAUGCACACAUCGCCCGUCACUCCUUUAUACAGG